AGUGAACGCUGGCGGUAGGCCUAACACAUGCAAGUCGAACGGCAGCACAGUAAGAGCUUGCUCUUACGGGUGGCGAGUGGCGGACGGGUGAGGAAUACAUCGGAAUCUACUUUUUCGUGGGGGAUAACGUAGGGAAACUUACGCUAAUACCGCAUACGACCUACGGGUGAAAGCAGGGGAUCUUCGGACCUUGCGCGAUUGAAUGAGCCGAUGUCGGAUUAGCUAGUUGGCGGGGUAAAGGCCCACCAAGGCGACGAUCCGUAGCUGGUCUGAGAGGAUGAUAAGCCACACUGGAACUGAGACACGGUCCAGACUCCUACGGGAGGCAGCAGUGGGGAAUAUUGGACAAUGGGCGCAAGCCUGAUCCAGCCAUACCGAGUGGGUGAAGAAGGACUUCGGGUUGUAAAGCCCUUUUGUUGGGAAAGAAAAGCAGCAGGUUAAUACCCCGCUGUUCUGACGGUACCCAAAGAAUAAGCACCGGCUAACUUCGUG
rnacentral:rRNA from 1 species